CCCNUGAGGGAAAGUUGCAAAGAACUUUGAAGAGAGAGUUCAAGAGGACGUGAAACCGUUUGGAAGGAAACGGAUAGAGUCGCGAAUCGCUCGGACGAUUCAAACGACGGCUGCAGCGUAUGAGAUGGGCGACCGUAAGGGCCUUUCAGAGUGCUGCUGUGGUUUGUCGUUGCAUUUCGUUUGAGUAGCGCUGGCAGGCGCGCGUGCCCAGUCGGUCGUCGUAUUUGACGGUGCUGUCUUCGGAUAGUUAUCGAAUUUGAUUGAUCGUCAUGUGGCGUGUGUGCUCAUAUUGUGGAUGCUAACGCGUGUCCUCGUAGGUUGCUUGUCGUUGUAUCGGUUCGACGUGCUUGCACGAAGGCUGCUGCACGGCGGUUGCUUGCGUUGUUCGCUUAUCUGCACUUGCUAGUGAACAAGUCGACCACCUAUCCGACCCGUCUUGAAACACGGACCAAGGAGUCUAACAUGUGCGCGAGUCGUAGAGUAAAGAAAACUCGAAGGCGUAAUGAAAGUAAAGCUUUGCGACACAGGAUUCGUCUCUUCGGUGGCGACGCACUGUGGCCCCGUUCCGAUUGCAUGUCAAUGGAGCGGCGGUAAAGCGUACACGUUGGGACCCGAAAGAUGGUGAACUAUGCCUGAGCAGGGCGAAGUCAGAGGAAACUCUGAUGGAGGCUCGAACGGUUCUGACGUGNAAAUCGAUCGUCAGACUUGGGUA
rnacentral:rRNA from 1 species